AAGUUCUCAACUGUAAUACAACUUCAGGUGCGUGGCGUUCCAGGUGCGAGGAAUAGCCCCUCCUUCCAAUGUCUCUAAGCGGUAGGCGCCGUUCCCGAGCGCCUCGGUUAUUCUGAACGGUCCAGUCCACUUGGGUGACAGCUUAUUCUCCAUCUCGUAUUGGUGGGCUUUUCUCAUCACCAGGUCGCCUUCUCUAAAUUGUCUUGGCAUCACCUUCGAGUUAUAUCUUCGUUCAAUCCUUC
rnacentral:lncRNA from 1 species